rnacentral:rRNA from 1 species
UACAGAGGGUGCGAGCGUUAAUCGGAAUUACUGGGCGUAAAGCGUGCGUAGAUGGUUAUUUAAGUCGGAUGUGAAAGCCCCGGGCUCAACCUGGGAAUUGCAUUCGAGACUGAAUAGCUAGGGUGCGGUAGAGGGAAGCGGAAUUUCCGGUGUAGCGGUGAAAUGCGUAGAUAUCGGAAGGAACAUCAGUGGCGAAAGCGGCUUCCUGGACCAGCACCGACGUUCAGGCACGAAAGCGUGGGGAGCAAACAGG